UACGUACUGUGCGAACGUUAUUCGGAAUCACUGGGCUUAAAGGGUGCGUAGGCGGCCGAUUAAGUAGGGUGUGAAAGGCCUCGGCUCAACCGGGGCAUUGCGCUCUAGACUGAUCGGCUCGAGUGAGAUAGGGGUGUGCGGAACUUCCAGUGGAGCGGUGAAAUGUGUUGAUAUUGGAAGGAACGCCGGUGGCGAAAGCGGCACACUGGGUCUUAACUGACGCUGAGGCACGAAAGCCAGGGGAGCGAACGGGAUUAGAAACCCGGGUAGU
rnacentral:rRNA from 1 species